CUCUUUAUUGACUUUUUCCUAAAACUGAGGAAAAUAAAUCAGAACAAUCCACCCCAACCACAUUAAUAAACAAUAAAACCUCAAUCUGUAAUGUACAGGAUUACUCUAAAUAAAAGGUUGACAAUCAAGCAGUUUCAAAUAUGAUUAUUGCAUUCCAACUGCAUAUAAGACAAAUAUGUGUAGGAGAAGGUCAAAUAUAUAUAUAUAUAAAUAAAUAUAUAUAUUUAUAUCUCAAUGUAACACUGUUUCAAACCAAGGCAACAAUAAAAAGGCAAAAAAAUAAUAAAAAGGCAUCAACAUUUGUCCAGACACUCAUGUGGAUAUGUUGCAGUGAGUUUCCUCCUUUAAACAAAGUCACAAAUAUGUGUAACUGUGUUUGCAGUGUGUUCGACAGAUAAGUGGAGGAUGGUGAUUAGGUCCAAUCCCAUAAACCCCUAGCCCCAAGGAGAGGAGAGGGAAGAGAGGGGGGGGGCAGGGUAGAGGAGAAGAGGGGACGGGAGAGGGGAGGGUAGAGGAGAAGAGGGGACGGGAGAGGGGAGGGUAGAGGAGAAGAGGGGACGGGAGAGGAGAGGGUAGAGGAGAAGAGGGGACGGGAGAGGAGAGGGAAGAGAGGGGGGGCAGGGUAGAGGAGAAGAGGGGACGGGAGAGGGGAGGGUAGAGGAGAAGAGGGGACGGGAGAGGGGAGGGUAGAGAGGGGGGCAGGGUAGAGGAGAAGAGGGGACGGGAGAGGGGAGGGUAGAGGAGAAGAGGGGACGGGAGAGGGGAGAGUGGGGGGAGAGAAGAGAAGAGAGGGGGACGGUAGAGGAGAAGAGGGGACGGGAGAGGGGAGAGUGGGGGAGAGAAGAAGAGAAGAGAGGGGGGACGGUAGAGGAGAAGAGGUGGGGAGAGGGGAGGGUAGAGAGGGGGGCAGGGUAGAGGAGAAGAGGGGAGGGGAGAGGGCAGGGUAGAGGAGAAGAGGGGACGGGAGAGGGGAGGGUAGAGAGAAGGGGGGCAGGGUAGAGGAGAAGAGGGGAGGGAAGAGGGGAGGGUAGAGGAGAAGAGGGGACGGGAGAGGGGACGGUAGAGGAGAAGAGGGGACGGGAGAGGGGAGAGUGGAGGAGAGGAGAGGGGAUGUUAGAGGAGAAGAGGGGAUGGGAGAGGGGAGAGUGGAGGAGAGGAGAAGAGGGGAGGGGAUGUUAGAGGAGAAGCGAAGAGGCAUAUAAGGAAAUGAAUUUAGGGGAUAAGGAAAUCAAAUAAGGAGAAGAGGUUAGGAGACAAGGAGAUGAGACUUGACUGAAGACCGACUUAAAUGCUGGCUGUCCUGGGUAUCUCCUGGCUGUCUGCCAGAUUCAGCUUCUGACUUGUGGAGAGGAGAUUGGAGUCAAGGAGAACAGCUGAAACACACACACCUCACUCACUCUGCUCUGAGCCCCCCCUCC
ensembl:lncRNA